UACAGAGGGGGCUAGCGUUGUUCGGAAUUACUGGGCGUAAAGGGCGCGUAGGUGGCCUGUUAAGUCGAACGUGAAAUCCCCGGGCUCAACCCGGGAACUGCGUCCGAGACUGAUAGGCUCGAAUCCGGGAGAGGGAUGUGGAAUUCCAGGUGUAGCGGUGAAAUGCGUAGAUAUCUGGAGGAACACCGGUGGCGAAGGCGGCAUCCUGGACCGGUACUGACGCUGAGGUGCGAAAGCGUGGGGAGCAAACAGG
rnacentral:rRNA from 1 species